rnacentral:lncRNA from 1 species
GUUAAUUCCGAAAAGCCUACGAGGAGCAACGAAAUCCAGCAUUUGUGCAUUACACAAAUUUGUAUAUGAGAGAGAAGGAGACAGAGGUAGCCGAGGCCGGCUGCGCGAAUUUAGUGGAUUCGAAUACGACGAAAACGACGCCAGAUUUUUAGCGAAGCGCAAAUACAUACAAGCGGAGCUGACGGACCGUGAUCUUGUUUCAGUAUGUGUGAUAUUGAGCAUAAAUCACAAUGCAGAAAAUAUGAUGCUACACAUAUUUCGCAAUCGGAUGAAGACGCAAACGAUGAAGACGAAAACGAAGAUCAAGAGAACGACGUGUUUCGCAGUGUUUGCGAGAUACGCACGAGUGAGGGAGACAACUAUAGUAACAUGCACACAAGACGACAAGAAAAUAGACGCCGAAGCAACGUACAAAGGGAAAACUACGAUGAGCAGGUCGCACCCCGAUUUGCUAUAAGUUUUCGCGAUAUUGAAGAGUCUAUCCGAAUGUUUGACGGCUCUGACCAGAUAGCUGUCGAAGAAUGGAUAGCAGAGUUUGAAGAGCAGGCUGCGUUCAUGCGUUGGACAGAAACUUAUUUUUGCGAAGAAGUCUUUGAAAGGCAUUGCCAAAUUAUUUGUUUUAAGCGAAAAAAAUUUGAACUCAUGGGAAACAUUGAAGUUUGCGCUGUUGAAUGAGUUUCAGUCGAAGGUAAAUAGCAAACAGAUACACAUGCAACUCAACGAGAGUAAACGACGACCGAAAGAGACUGUUCUGGAAUAUUUUUAUCGCAUGAGAGGUAUUGCUGCAAGAGGAAAUGUUUAAGACGACGCACUUAUGCAAUACGUGAUUAACGGUGUCGACGAGAUGGCAUUAAAUAAAUCUAUUUUAUAUGGUGCGAAAAAGAUGUCUGAUUUUAAGGACAAAUUAAAAGAUUAUGAGAAAAUAAACGAGAAAAUAAAAAAGAGUGAGAAGACGGGAAGAGAUAAGAAGAUGAGGUUGGACAAAAUUAUACCCAGACUGGCAAAAAAGACGUCGUGUGUUACAACUGCGGAGAGAAGGGUCAUGUAUCUAGCAGUUGCUCGAGCAAAGAGAAGGGGAAAAAGUGCUUCAAGUGCAAUCAGUUUGGGCACAUUUCAAAGAAUUGCAAGGAGAAAAGUGAGAAGGCAAACGAAGAAAAACAAAACUUGCGUGUAAUUUUGAAUAGAGCGGAAUUGACAUCCAAAGAAGUUUCGAUUAAAAAUAUGAAAUGUAUGGCACUAUUUGACACUGGCAGUAAAUUCAAUAUUUUGCGCGAAGACUUUUACGACGAACUGUGUAUGCCAAAAUUAAAGAACUGCAGAGUGCGCUUGGUCGGUUUCGGAAGUGAAAGCAAGGCUGACAAUAUCAAGCCGAUUGGUCAAGUAGAACAUAGCAUACGUAUUGACGACGAAGAAUAUGUUUUGACAUUUUAUGUUGUUGCUGCUAAGUUCAUGGAUAUUAAGCUGAUAAUCGGGGAAGAGCUUUGUUUGCACGCAGAAGUAUCAUUUAAUCGCCAUGGAGUAAAAGUUAAUAAAAUGCCAAAUGAAAAUAACGAAGAUGCGUAUGACGAAGCGUCCAUAAUGAAAAUCGACGUAGCGGUGGACAAUUCUGAACUGAAUAUAAACGAAGCGAUAAACGAGAUUACACGAAAAGAAGUUCGCGAAAUAGUAACGACGUAUAAACCGGAAAAAUCAAAAACAACAAACAUUGAAAUGAAAAUAAUUCUUAAAGACGAAACGCCAAUUUUCUCGCGGCCGCGGCGGUUUGCUAUGACUGAAACACGUAUCAUAGAAGACCAGGUUGAUGAAUGGCUGCAGAAUGAGGUAAUUGAAGAAUCAGAAUCCGAGUUCACGAGUCCGGUUGUACUAGUAAAAAAGAAUGACGGCAAGCAACGUCUAUGUAUUGACUUCAGACGCAUCAAUAAAGUCAUCGAAAAAGAUCAUUUCCCAUUGCCGUUGAUAGAUGACNAAGAAUUGCAAGGAGAAAAGUGAGAAGGCAAACGAAGAAAAACAAAACUUGCGUGUAAUUUUGAAUAGAGCGGAAUUGACAUCCAAAGAAGUUUCGAUUAAAAAUAUGAAAUGUAUGGCACUAUUUGACACUGGCAGUAAAUUCAAUAUUUUGCGCGAAGACUUUUAUGACGAACGGUGUAUGCCAAAAUUAAAGAACUGCAGAGUGCGCUUCGUCGGUUUCGGAAGUGAAAGCAAGGCUGACAAUAUCAAGCCGAUUGGUCAAGUAGAACAUAGCAUACGUAUUGACGACGAAGAAUAUGUUUUGACAUUUUAUGUUGUUGCUGCUAAGUUCAUGGAUAUUAAGUUGAUAAUCGGGGAAGAGCUUUGUUUGCACGCAGAAGUAUCAUUUAAUCGCCAUGGAGUAAAACUUAUUAAAAUGCCAAAUGAAAAUAACGAAGAUGCAUAUGACGAAGCGUCCAUAAUGAAAAUCGACGUAGCGGUGGACAAUUCUGAACUGAAUAUAAACGAAGCGAUAAACGAGAUUACACGAAAAGAAGUUCGCGAAAUAGUAACGACGUAUAAACCGGAAAAAUCAAAAACAACAAACAUUGAAAUGAAAAUAAUUCUUAAAGACGAAAUGCUCGACGUGGUGAUUUCCACCUUGUAAAGGCGGGCGGCCAAAAAAUCCCCCUCUACCCAAGGAUAGAGCGGUAACAUAAAACCUCAAAAAGACGAAACGCCAAUUUUCUCGCGGCCGCGGAGGUUUGCUAUGACUGAAACACGUAUCAUAGAAGACCAGGUUGAUGAAUGGCUGCAGAAUGAGGUAAUUGAAGAAUCAGAAUCCGAGGUCACGAGUCCGGUUGUACUAGUAAAAAAGAAUGACGGCAAGCAACUUAUUUAUUCAAUCACUUAUUAACCUUUACUUAUAAACAAUAAACAUAAACCCCCACAUAUAUGUUAGACAAGAUGGCCUAAUUUGGCCUGCUGCCCAAAAAACUAUUACUGGGCACAUUAUGUUUGCAAGGGAGCAUGCCAAUUGGACAUCCCUAUCAUGGAGGAAAAUUUCAAUGUCAGAUGAGUAAAAAGUAUUUUAUUUACUGAUAUUUAAGACGUCCAGUACACCAAUCAAAUCAAUCAGAAACCCAAUCAAAAUAAAAGGUUUAAUUUCAUGAUAUGGGCCUUCUUCUCUUACUAUGGAGUAGGUUCAAUAUAUUGAAUAAAAACCAUAAAGGAUCAGCACGUGUGCGUGGAUAUCAUGGAGACUGUAAUGCUACCGUUUGCAGAAUAUGAAAUGUCACUAGAAUGGGUCGUUCAACCGGUAAAUAACCCAAGCAUGAAAGCAAAGGACGGUUCGGGGCCAACUCUGAACAUGUAAGAGUGUCCUGCACAGUCCCCUGACAUGAAACCCAUCGAAAAUUUGAGGUCCGCCAUCCAAAAGGCAGUUGCUGCUUCCAACCCAACCACUGUAGGAUCAGUUUGAGAACAAAUUUAAGAGUCCUGGUCCAAAGCUCCCCAAAAGCUAUGCCUGGACUUAGUGGAAUCCAUGCCUAGACGCUGCACAGCUGUUACUGCCAAAAUAGAACACUGAAC